rnacentral:rRNA from 1 species
GAUGAACGCUGGCGGCGUGCUUAACACAUGCAAGUCGAACGAGAAGUGAAGACGGAAACCUUCGGGCGGAAGGCUUUAUUUCGAGUGGCGGACGGGUGAGUAACGCGUGGUUAACCUGCCUCAUACAGGGGGAUAACAGUUGGAAACGACUGUUAAUACCGCAUAAGACCACAGCACCGCAUGGUGCGGGGGUAAAAACUCCGGUGGUAUGAGAUGGACCCGCGUUCGAUUAGCCAGUUGGCGGGGUAACGGCACACCAAAGCGACGAUCGAUAGCCGAUCUGAGAGGAUGACCGGCCACAUUGGGACUGAGACACGGCCCAAACUCCUACGGGAAGCAGCAGUGGGGAAUAUUGCACAAUGGGGGAAACCCUGAUGCAGCGACGCCGCGUGAGUGAAGAAGUAUUUCGGUAUGUAAAGCUCUAUCAGCAGGGAAGAAAAUGACGGUACCUGAGUAAGAAGCCCCGGCUAACUACGUG